CCUACGGGAGGCAGCAGUGAGGAAUAUUGGUCAAUGGGCGCGAGCCUGAACCAGCCAAGUCGCGUGAGGGAAGACGGUCCUAUGGAUUGUAAACCUCUUUUGUCGGGGAGCAAAAGACGCCACGCGUGGCGUUCCGAGAGUACCCGAAGAAAAAGCAUCGGCAAAGUCCGGGCCAGCAGCCGCGGUAAUACGGAGGAUGCGAGCGUUAACCGGAUGUAUUGGGUUUAAAGGGUGCGCAGGCGGAAGAUCAAGUCAGAGGUAAAAUUGAGAGGUUAAACUUCUUAGAGCCGUUGAUACUGGUUUGCUUGAGUGAGCGAGAGGUAUGCGGAAUGCGUGGUGUAGCGGUGAAAUGCAUAGAUAUCACGCAGAACUCCGAUUGCGAAGGCAGCAUACCGGCGCUCAACUGACGCUCAUGCACGAAAGUGUGGGUAUCGAACAGGAUUAGAUACCCUGGUAGUC
rnacentral:rRNA from 1 species